rnacentral:lncRNA from 1 species
ACUUAUUGGCUUUCACCCUUGACUUGGCCUUGAAGUUUUGGAAUUUCUAGCUCUCAAGUUUUUUCAGGAGAGCUUUAGAAACAACUUGUCAAGUUUUCACCACAAAUACCAUUGGAGUUACAAUUGGAGUCUCACUGAAUUAUAGAGUAAUUUUUGGAGAGCUAUCAUCUUUAUAAUCUUCUCAUACAUGAAUGUGGAGUUGCUGGUAGAAGACUUCAUGAAGGAGAGAAGAAAAGGAAAAAAUCAGAGGAUGACUACAGCCUCCUUCAUCUCAGCUUUUCAAAGCAUUACUCAACAGAGGGAUCACUCUCUUGAAUACUCUCCAGACCACAGGCCAUCAGUCUAUUACAGGCUCUAACUGGGAGGAGCCUUAUUGUGAAUGAAGCUUCGGUGGGUGCUAGGAGUAACACCGUGUUUCUCUGGAUAUGAGAAGAAUGGAGGGCAGAGAGCAAGGGAAGGAAGCUAUGAAAUAUUGGAGUAACAAAUGCUUGACGUUUUAGUGGGUAUUGGACCUAGAAGCCUAUAUGAUUGAAGGAAGCAAACCUGGAGAGGUCUGAUGUUUGUGAGUGAAGAUAGGAGUGAACUCCUUAUUGCAAUUAAAAAUGGAGUGAGGGGGAGGAAAAAAAUGACAGAAAUCAUAAGAUCCAUUACUUCAGUGAAGGAAGCACUGAGACUUGCUUCAUAAACCUGUAAUUUUUAAAGGUAGAUUGAAGAUAAGUUGUUGUGCUGCACUAUUUCUAUUCCUACCCGUGAGAGUUACUGCCAGCCACUCUUCUCAGGUAGAUCUGCCUUUAUGGAAAUUUCUGUUGACCCACGUAAAGAAACAACCCAGAAAAACAUUUGCAACAUUGAAGAACUCUGGUUCAGUGACAGGGUGUUAAAGGAGUCGAGGAUAGAGGAAAUAGCUCAAGUAGUACCAAAUAGCUCAGGUUGUUUUUUUUUUUUUCUUUUUAAUAGGAUGAUUGGGCCAGAGACAGUGGGCAGAAUGACUUCAGGCAACCCCAAACACCAGAUAUGGCAUAAGGAAACAGUUCAAGGAAAAGGUCAAUCCUUGGACCUAGUAUUUGUGAUGCAAUAUCUUAAAUUAAAAGGAAGAGCUGCUUUGGAGAAGGGUUUUAAAAGAUUGUAUUUCAUAGAAAGAAGAAAGAUUUGAGGAGAAACUUCCAAUUAUAUAAGAUGGGCAUUAUAACUUUUAAAGACAUCUGUUGCCUGCAUGGGUCAUAGAGAUUGAUACCAGUAUCAGCCUGUGGCUGACUAGGCCAGUUUAAGUGGUUUCCUGUUCGAAGAGAGAUGCUGCCAUUCUCUCACUUUGGCAGGUAUUCACCUGCAAUGAGUCCAGUACCUGGAGGAGCAAGAAAAAAACAAGCAUCCAGGGGGACAAUAGUAUAGCCUUCUGAGUUAAGAUAGCAACUGAAAAGAUCAUGGGAUUGGCUGCACUGGGCUGGGCUUGUUUGUUUUUUCAAAAUAAAAAAGUUUUCUUUUUGAUGACAAAAGUAAGAGAUGAUCAUUCUUUAAAAAUAAAGUGAAA